CGGGGCAUAGCUCAGCUUGGUAGAGCGCUCGCUUUGGGAGCGAGAGGUCGUCGGUUCAAAUCCGGCUGCCCCGA
rnacentral:tRNA from 1 species